rnacentral:rRNA from 1 species
CUAUACAUGACUCUGCGCAUAUCAAUAAGCGGAGGAAAAGCUGCUGACUGAACGACCGCUACCUACGCUUAGGAUGUUGACAGCAGUAUAGACUGUAGAUCUCAUCUAUACAUGACUCUGCGCAUAUCAAUAAGCGGAGGAAAAGAAACUAACAAGGAUUCCCUUAGGUAACGGCGAGUGAAGCGGGAAGAGCUCAAAUUUGAAAUCUUCAAGGUUUUACCUUGACGAAUUGUAGUUUAAAGAAGUGUUUUCUGCUGAAGUUUUGGUAAAAGUUCUUUGGAAUAGGACAUCAUAGAGGGUGAGAAUCCCGUAUUUGACCAUUAUUUUCAGCUUUGUGAUACACUUUCAAAGAGUCGGAUUGUUUGGGAAUGCAGUCCAAAAUGGGUGGUAAAUUUCAUCUAAAGCUAAAUAUUGGCGAGAGACCGAUAGCGAACAAGUACCGUGAGGGAAAGAUGAAAAGAACCUUGAAAAGAGAGUUAAACAGUACGUGAAAUUGUCAAAAGGGAAGCGUUUGACACCAGUGUUGUUUUUCUGAAAAUCAAUUAAAGAACUGUUUAUGCUAAGUUGUUUAGACUUUAUCAGCUAACUGUUUAGUUUUGAGCUUUUCUUUAAUGCACUUUUCAGUUAACAAGUCAACAUCAAUUUCUUUUGCUGUAAAAAAGCUUGAGGAAGGUGGCUUGAGAUUCGUCUUAAGUGUUUAUAGCCUCUUGCCUAUGCAGUCGGAGAGAUUGAGGUCUGCAGCGUAGAUCCUUCGGGGCUAAAUGCAUUUGUGCUAAGUUAUAGCAUUUUAUAGACAACUUGUUGACUAUGAUUUGUCUUGUAGCUUACUCGCUUAUGUUAUUUUACCUACGCUUAGGAUGUUGACAGCAGUAUAGACUGU